rnacentral:tRNA from 1 species
GCCUCCGUAGCUCAACUGGCAGAGCAGCGGCCUCUUAAGCCGAAGCGUGAACGUUCGAAUCGUUCCGGGGGCACCA